GGGGCCCGGUGUCCCCCCUCAGGUGACAGCUAAGGGUGCUCGGGGCAGCCCUUACCCAUGGCAAACUCCACGAGGGUCUCGUUGUCCUCGUUCCAGUUUAAAUAACGGGAUUGGAAUUCAUGAAGCUGCGGGAGAAAAGAGCACAGAAGCUGAGCCCCAUAAAUAAUGCAGCUGAUAUCAGGAAGAAGCUGGAAUUGUAGAAGACAUAGUGGAAAUCACUGGUUAUGUCUACCAGGAGACCUGAAACAGAAGUCAUAGCUUAGCCAAAGAGAAGAGGCACACUAAAGGCAUUCAUUUACAUGAA